AUUUUGUAAGGUCCUGUUUUUCCCAUCUGUGCAGGAUGGCAAAGGUCACAAGACAUGCCUGAGUUACAAGACCUGUCACAGUUUAACUGCGUUUGUUCUGCUUCUGUAAGCUUGCUUUCCCCACCCCACAAGUUUUGCACCACAGGCCAACACCCUUUGGUCACAUGAAUAAAAGUCAAGCCCUUUCUUUGCUCAUUGCUCAGCCUCUGGGUAUUAAUCUGCUGAGCUGGUGGCCACCUAAAUACAAUCGUCCUGUUCCCCUCAUUGGUCUCUCCGGUCUCCUGAUUCCAGCCACAUUUUGGUGAGCCAGCCAGGAGUGAAGACGACAGGUUUGCUGUCUCCUUUGCCUGUGGGUCUGGGGCCCCAGCCUGGGGGAGACCCGUGACUCCAGGCAUGCUAUCAGGACAACUUCAACCCGAGGGGAGAUCAGCUCUCCCGCAACCUGGUGCCGCUCUCUGACAGCACAACAGAACCUAAGGGGCUACAGGAUGAUUCAAGGAACAGUGUGCUACAGGACCUCGCAAGAAGACCCUCACCAGAUGCAGCCCCUCUAUGUUGGACUUCCCAGCCUCCGGAAGUUAGAAAUGUGCUACAACCACUCAAGGUCUGCAAACAGAUUCCUAUUUAGAUGUUGUUGAGAGAUGGGGUCUCGCUCUGUCCUGGAGUGCAAUGGCACGAUCUUGGCUCACUGCAACCUCCGCCUCCCAGGUUCAAGCAAUUCUCCUGCCUCAGCCUCCCGAGUAGCUGGGACUACAGGCACACGCCAACACGCCAGGCUAAUUUUUUGUAUUUUUAAUAGAGAUGGAGUUUCACCAUGUUCCCCAGGCUGGUCUUGAACUCCUGAGCUCAGGCAAUCCACCUUCCUCUGCCUCCCAAAGUGCUAGGAUUACAGGCGUGAGCCACCGCGCCCGGUCUAUUUAUUUUCUUAACAGGGUAUUUUGCUAAGAAGUUUUACAUUUUGGUGAAGUCUAGUUUUUCCAUUUUUUUAUUAUGCUUAUUAUUUCUUAUGACUUCAGAUUUCCUUCCCUUCACUUAAUUAAUGGAGGUAUUGUAGUAUGAUUUCUUUUACCUUGUAUUUUGAAAUUUUACCUUUUACUCUGUGGUCCAUCUUGAAUUAUCUUUUAUGUAUGAUGUGAGGAUGUGAGAUUACUUUUCUUCAUAUGAAAAUGCAAUUUUUCCACCUUCCAUUCUUGAAGAAAUUAACUUUCCCCAUUUGACUGUUUUGGUGUAUUGGACAGUAAGUUUAAAAAUAUGUUUUAAAAAGUAUUUGCCAUGUUUAAAAAAUGUUUAGAAAGAAAGGCCACAUUCUUGUCUUUUUCCUUAUCUUAGAGGAAAAGGCUUCAACUUUUCACAUUGAGUAUGAUGUUAGCUGUUGGAUUGUCAUACAUGGAUUUUCUUGUUGGUGAACUUUUCUUCUAUACCUAAUUUGUAAUUGAUAAUAAUAAUAUAUUGUUUAUAUCAAAACAGCUAAAAAAGGGAUUUUAAAUGCUCUCACCACAAAGAAAUGAUAGUAUUUGGGUGGGAUAAAUAUGUUAAUUGACCAUAUUUGAUUAUUCCACAAUGUACAUGUAACAAAACACCACAUUGUACCCCAUAAAUAUAUAAAAUUAUUAUUUGCAAUUAGAAAUAAAAUAUAACUUAAAAAAGAAAAUCCAUAACUCCUUUCUAUAAUUUAUGAAUGUAUGUCAAAAGUCUUAAAUUUGGUUUUAAAUAUCUUGCUGUAACUGAUCUUUACUGUCUAUUUACAGGUCACUAGACAUCCUGCUCCAGGUGUAAUUAUGCUAUUAACACAAACAACAGCUGGCUCACAUGUACUAAGCUCACAUGUACUAAGCUCACUUGUACUAGCAGCUCAUUGAGCCCACAUGUACUAAGCAGCGUGAUAAGUACUUGUAUAUGCAGUAUGUCAUAUACAGGCAAUAAUUUUA
rnacentral:lncRNA from 10 species